rnacentral:rRNA from 1 species
UACGGGGGAUGCAAGCGUUAUCCGGAUUUACUGGGUGUAAAGGGGGCGCAGACGGCGAUGCAAGCCAGGAGUGAAAGCCCGGGGCCCAACCCCGGGACUGCUCUUGGAACUGCGUGGCUGGAGUGCAGGAGGGGCAGGCGGAAUUCCUGGUGUAGCGGUGAAAUGCGUAGAUAUCAGGAGGAACACCGGUGGCGAAGGCGGCCUGCUGGACUGCAACUGACGUUGAGGCCCGAAAGCGUGGGGAGCAAACAGG